UACGAAGGGGGCUAGCGUUGCUCGGAAUCACUGGGCGUAAAGGGUGCGUAGGCGGGUCUUUAAGUCAGGGGUGAAAUCCUGGAGCUCAACUCCAGAACUGCCUUUGAUACUGAGGAUCUUGAGUUCGGGAGAGGUGAGUGGAACUGCGAGUGUAGAGGUGAAAAUCGUAGAUAUUCGCAAGAACACCAGUGGCGAAGGCGGCUCACUGGCCCGAUACUGACGCUGAGGCACGAAAGCGUGGGGAGCGAACAGG
rnacentral:rRNA from 1 species